AUGAACGCUGGCGGCGUGGAUAGGGCAUGCAAGUCGGACGAUUUCCUUUUUUGAAGAAGAUGCGAUUACAUCAAGUCAACUGAUAUUUUGGAGAUAGUGGCGAACGAGCUAGUAACACCUUGGUACGUACCCAAAAGUUUGGUAUAGCUCGCCGAAAGGCGGGGUAAUCCCAAAUAAUCCCUCUAUCUAUCGGAUAGAAGGGUAAAGUCGCAAGACGCUUUUGGAGCGGCCUAGGACCGAUCAGUUAGUUGGCGAGGUAAUGGCUCACCAAGACGAUGACCGGUAGGGG
rnacentral:rRNA from 1 species